GGAACGCAGAGACAGGUGGUGCAUGGCUGUCGUCAGCUCGUGUCGUGAGAUGUUGGGUUAAGUCCCGCAACGAGCGCAACCCACGUCUUUAGUUGCCAGCAUUCAGUUGGGCACUCUAGAGAGACCGCCGGUGAUAAACCGGAGGAAGGUGUGGAUGACGUCAAGUCAUCAUGCCCCUUACAUCCUGGGCUACACACGUACUACAAUGCUACGGACAAAGGGCAGCAAACUCGCGAGAGCUAGCAAAUCCCAUAAACCGUGGCUCAGUUCAGAUCGUAGGCUGCAACUCGCCUACGUGAAGGAGGAAUCGCUAGUAAUCGCAGGUCAGCAUACUGCGGUGAAUACGUUCCCGGGCCUU
rnacentral:rRNA from 1 species